rnacentral:lncRNA from 1 species
CCUCCAUGUCUGCUGCUGACAUAGCUUUGAUGGAGCAGCUGAUGAGGCCUCCACGGUUGUGCACUUUCAACACACGCUCAAAGAGGAGGUUUCGUUUGGCUUCAUCAGUGGUGUAGUCCCCUUCAGUCAGGUCGAUAGGUUCAGAGACCCCACCAGUAAAGUCUACCAGAGCAUCAGCUGUGUUGCCUCCAUCCAGGGCCUCGUAACAUCCUGACAACUUGGCAUAAGC